CAGAGUAGAGGUAUGUGCGUAAAGUGCAGACCGGACGGGGAGUUGCCGGUCUGACGAAAAGCUUUUUGCUUGCGGUACAGUCCUCGCAUCCCGCUG
rnacentral:ncRNA from 1 species